ensembl:lncRNA
AAAAAAUAAAAGGUACCUUCUGUGGCUGCUUUGAUUAAAACUGAAGCUCUUCUCUUCUGUCAGACGCACAUGAAACUCGCAAAUUAAAAAUCUGAUGGAGAAACGGUGGUGCAGAAGGCUUUAUUGGUGUCUGACCAACUUCACUUUUAAUCGAUACAGCCGUCUCAACCGGCCGCUUUAACCCUUUGAUGCACGACACGGGUCAAAAGAUACCCAUAUCCAAUGGAAUAUCCAAUGGAAUAUUCAAUGGAAUAUUCAAUGCAUGUGGGUAUCUAUUGACCCACGUUGUGAAGAACUAAAAAUUCUAGGUUCUUUGGUGCAACUGUGAAGCUUUUCGUGACUCAACUGUGACCAACUGUCGCAUGGCAAGAAUUCAGGAACUUUUCAACUGAACUGCAGGCAGUUUAAGCAGAGCAGACAAGACAAGUCUGGAAGCAAGUUAAAAUAUGCGUUUUUCUUGUAGAAUUUAUGGCAUUGUAAGUGUAUCGUAGGGUUGUCAAAUUUGUUAAACCUCUGUACCACCAAAAGCAGGUUUGAAAGACAUGUAAUCUUUUAAACAAUUGCCAAAAAUUACAACAUUUAUCAGGAACAGAAACAGUAAUAAAUAGAAAGAAGUGUCUAAUUUUCAGCUUUUCGGCAAGAGUCCAACUAUUCAUCUGUUUGUUGGGGAAAUCUACCAAAUUUAAGCCUAAAAUUGUGAUAUUUUGUAAAAAAUCACCUUGUUCUACAUGUCUUGUUUUUAAAAAAUGUCAAAAAGAAGCAAUAUGCAUUAACUGGAUUGUGCAAAAAAUGAAAAAUUCUAGGUUCUUGGGUCAACACUGAGCAGAAACAGAAUCUAGGAAAAACAGAAAGAAUCAAGAUUUUUGAUUUUCUGACAAGAGUGUAACCAAUCUAAAAUCACUUUAAUGGAAUAUGGGUUUCUAUUGACCCAUGUUGAGCAUCAAAGGGUUAAAUGAGACCUUAACUUUUACAGAACAGCAGCUACUGCGGCCAAUAGUAAGUAGCUGUAAAAAAUGACUGUAAUGUCAGUUACAGUUUUAUAUCUGUGUUGUUUAGCCAAGAUUUGCCACCAUAAGCCGCCAAACUGUUUUACUUAUGCACGCAGUUUGCAUUUAACUGUAUUUUCUCCAGUUUCAGAAGUUACACAGUACAGUUUAGAGGCUGUAACCUCAAACCAAAGUGUGUUUUUGGGCUUGAAAUCCAUUUUGAAUCAUCUUUGGCAUGUAACUUUGGUCAUUUCUGUCUGAUUCCAGAGCUUUACUGUGGCUGAAUGCAUUGAUGAGGGACUGAAGCUACAGCGGAUAGCGUUAAAUUAAACAUCUGAAUGUAAGAAUUGUGCAAAAAAUCUAAAACCAGAAGUGGGUGGCAUGACUGUAUCUCUACUAUAAAAGCCAUUUCAGCCCAUUUUCCUUUCCAUCCUUAUUGUUUAUUCAUGUCUGAUUUAUCAGUGUAACUGUAGCUUGGCCCUGAUGUGGAUCGAUCGUUGGAUUCAUCACAUUUCCAGAAGUUCACUUGAAGAAACGACCUUGUAGUAAAUACUGAAUAUUGUAUAAGUGAGUAAACUGAAGUAAAAUCUGUAUAUUUUAGGACUAAGUUUUGUUUCAGAAGUAACCAUGAGAGUAUAUUUUCAUUAUGCAGCCUUGUACGGAGCGUGUUUUUACAGAGAGAGUGUCUCCAGGUAGCUCAGCUGUGGAGGACUGAAGGAAGCUGGACUCGUUGCACACUAAUGAAUAUUUGCAGUCGUCUUUACAGUUGUCUGAUGAAAACAUGACAUUUUUUAUUGUCACUUUCAGAGAUCUUAAAUCUAAAGUCAUUAUUUUUCCACCUCUUUCAACAUUACUUCUCCUACUGUACUUGAUCAAGCCUGAGCACCUUGUGUUUGCAGCAAAGAAGUUUUAUUUGUGCAGUGAUCGUACCAGGUGUGCACCUCACUUUGCUUUUCUUCACUAAGAAGCCAUCAUGCUUAUUUUGUUGAUGUUUCUUUUAUGAGAUGAUGCAAAAGAGACGCUGCCGCCUUCCUCCGGAGCGCUCUCGAUUAUUUACAAUGUUAUGUUUGCGUUGUUUAUAAAGUUUUUAUAUAUUUAUCUGUUUGUGUUAGCUUCUAGGAAGCUCUAGUUCUAUAGUUGUCUUCAGUUUGUUGGUAGUGACGAAGCAACAUGUCAUUUUUAUUAUUUAUGGUAAAAUUAAAACUGUUGAAAGCA